rnacentral:tRNA from 1 species
GGGAGUGUAGUUUUAAAUGGUAAAACGUAUGCUUUGCAAGCAUAAGAUAUUGGUUCAAUUCCAAUUAUUUCCA